CCUACGGGAGGCAGCAGUGAGGAAUAUUGGUCAAUGGGCGCAAGCCUGAACCAGCCAAGUCGCGUGAGGGAUGACGGUCCUAUGGAUUGUAAACCUCUUUUGUCGGGGAGCAAGGCCCGCCACGUGUGGCGGGAAGGAGAGUACCCGAAGAAAAAGCAUCGGCUAACUCCGUGCCAGCAGCCGCGGUAAUACAGAGGAUGCGAGCGUGAUCCGGAUGUAAUGGUUUUAAAGGGUGCGUAAGCGGAAGGGUUAGUCAGCGGUCAAAUGUCGGUGCUCAACACCGGCCUGCCGUUGAAACUGGUCUGCUUGAGUGAGCGAGAAGUAUGCGGAAUGCGUGGUGUAGCGGUGAAAUGCAUAGAUAUCACGCAGAACUCCGAUUGCGAAGGCAGCAUACCGGCGCUCAACUGACGCUGAGGCACGAAAGCGUGGGGAUCGAACAGGAUUAGAUACCCUAGUAGUC
rnacentral:rRNA from 1 species